rnacentral:rRNA from 1 species
AGGACGUCUACAUUAGAUACCCCGGUAGUCCCAGCCGUAAACUAUGCGCGUUAGGUGUAUCGGUGACCACGAGUUACCGAGGUGCCGAAGGGAAACCGUGAAACGUGCCGCCUGGGAAGUACGGUCGCAAGGCUGAAACUUAAAGGAAUUGGCGGGGGAGCACCACAACAGGUGGAGCCUGCGGUUUAAUUGGACUCAACGCCGGGAAGCUCACCGGAUAGGACAGCAGAAUGAUUGCCGGGCUGAAGACUCUGCAUGACUAGCUG